rnacentral:rRNA from 1 species
GUAGGGAAUAUUGGGCAAUGGAGGCAACUCUGACCCAGCCAUGCCGCGUGCAGGACGAAGGCGCUCAGCGUUGUAAACUGCUUUUGCCCAAGAAGAAUGACAGGGGUGCGCCCUUGUGUGACGGUAUUGGGUGAAUAAGCACCGGCUAACUCCGUGCCAGCAGCCGCGGUAAUACGGAGGGUGCAAGCGUUGUCCGGAUUUAUUGGGUUUAAAGGGUGCGUAGGCGGAUCGAUAAGUCUGGUUUGAAAGCAGGUUGCUUAACAAUCUGAUGUGGCUGGAUACUGUCGAUCUUGAAAUUGUUGGAGGCAGCCGGAACGGGUCGUGUAGCGGUGAAAUGCAUAGAGAUGACCCAGAACACCAAUUGCGUAGGCAGGCUGCUACGACUGAUUUGACGCUGAGGCACGAGAGCAUGGGGAGCAAACAGGAUUAGAAACCCGUGUAGUCC